UUCUGCCAUGGACUAGUUAUAUUUCUUCACAGAAAAGCUUGUUAGAAGACUGCACAGUAUCUAGCCAACAUCUAAGAUAUACAUUUGUGAAUGCUGGAAUAUACUUGCAAAUCGAACAAUGCAUUGAACUCUACUGAAUGAAUAUAUAAGGUAAUGAUCAUUAAACCCUAAAAUUGCCUUUGUUCCCCCGAGUGACACUACAGUGAUGCUCCAACGGUGCAGCAUUUUCCUUUUCCCAUACUUAGUAAUGAAACUUGUUUUGUACCUUAAAAAACAAGGACUAUCAUUCACAAUAUGCCUUCCGGGUCCAGGAUUGCUGGCAAAGCUACACAUCUGGAAACACUUCACACGUUCCAAACUUGCCAAAGGUUAGGACCCCACAUAACCAGCAAAGUUUGAAACCUGGAAUGAAUGAUUGACAGCAGUUAGCAGGAGCACUGGAGCCUAUUUAACGCAUCACAACAUGUCAAAAUGAAUACCUCACUCCUCCCUCUCCCUCCUCAACCCCUCUCUGUACUCUUCUCGUCCAUCAUUGUCCUCUUUUUGAGGUUGAACCUGUGUCAUGGGCAUAGCAAUGCCUUUGAAAAUCUGUUUAUGGGUUUACAGUGCUUUCCUGGCAUGUGGCUGAACAGCAGGACUCUGCUAACAGUCCCAGCAGGAGUUAGAGACCCCAAUGUAGCCCUGCUGAGCACAAAAGGAUAGCCCAGUGAUAUAAUAAUAACAGCCGUCAAAUCUCAUCCAGAGCAAAGAUAUGGUGAGUCCUUGACCUGCUUCUUCCUUCAUUCUCAAUUGGAGAUCAACAUACUAAAACGACCACAGAAGGCAAAGAUUGAUCCUAUGGGUUCAAAACAAGAUUAAAGAAAGAACAACAAGCCAUGUCUGACAUAAUGGCAUCAUUUGCUUGGUUACAAUGAAUUUGGAAGUGGAAAGCGUCAAUCGGAGUUUGAAAGGUUCCACAAAGGGAGAGGGAGAGAGAAAGCGAGGGGGUGGCCUCUCCGGAGCGACUGGAUCGUUAGGAUAAGUCUACGGCCUCCAGUCGGCCUCUCAUCCAGAUAACAAGACAGAGACAGCCUCAUAGAUCAGAAGAGCCACUAUCAGAGACUCUUCCUGGGCAGUGGAGCAUUAAAGUCCCGAACAGAUCCAGCACUCUCUUAACCCUGUUGGGACCACCGCCAGAGACCAGCAGGAGGGAAAUGAACCUCAACAUCAGAGCUGAUGAACAUUCCUUAAGAAAUUACUGAAUGAAAAACUGGAAGUUGACACAAUAUUUAUGCAUCUACUAUAACUGGUUCACAAUGU